GCAUCCCGGGACCCAGGGUCCCCGACACCUGGCCUCCGCCGAGGGGCGCCGCGGCCGGGGCGCGCGCGGGUAGGAGGGGGCGCGGCGGGGCUGGGGGCACGCGGGAAGGCCGCCCGGGGGCCCGGGGCACGCCCGGCCGCUUCCCCGGGUCCGUGCCCAGCCCUCCUCGGCGGCAGAGGGCCAGGGCUCCGCCGCUCCCGGCCGCGUAGCAGGUGCCCAGCCCGCACCCCACACCUCUCUCCCGGGAGGACACCAGCAGGACAGCGAGGGCACAGGCUCCGGGCUCCACCCGCUGCGCCCCAGACCCGGGAACCCACGGCGCUGUCCCUUCCCCAGAGCCGAGGGGCGCAUCCCGGACUGGCCCCCUGCCUCGCCUCUCGGUUGCUGCUGCUUAUACCCUCUGGGCAACAGGCAACCUGAGCUCCCAGACUAGCCCACCGCCUAGCCAGCAGCGGCCUUGUGCCCAGCUUCAGGCAAGGUCAGGAGGCCUUCUGUACCAGCCGCUACUCGGAUGCCUUCAGCUUGACCUGUCCAGGCGCCAGAAGCCACAGCCCGGAAUGAACGCCCGGGCCAUCGAGGAGAAGACUGACUAGAGUUCUCCAGAGAGCUUCAAACUCCUGCCACACACUGAGUAAGCAUCCUCUUAAGACAGAAAAGAUGCCCAACAGAAAAGAGCAAGUGUUACACACACAUUUUGAUCUUACACUUAUAAAUCGAAAUGCUACUUUCAGUUUCUCAGACACUCCACAAGUUACACAAAAUGUCAGAAGCACUGAAAUGCCAGUGUAUAAAUUUACACUUGAAAUUAAAUUCAGAGUUACACGGAACAAGGUUGUAUGAAGAGAGAGAUUGGGUUCAUGAGCUCUAUACAGACUUAUAUUCUGAGGUGGUUUAUGAGACUUUGGCCCAGAUUGCGCGGCCUGUAACACAUUCUCGGCAGCCCCUGUAACCAUUGGCUCGUCAGAAAGAAGUAUCUCAAAGUCAACGAUAAUUUUAAAUGUCUCCUGGUCGUGGUAUUGUUCAUACAUCAAUCAUCGGGUCCAUCUUGUGCCACAGAGGUGACGACUCAACACGAAGACAUACUGAGAGACUCACGGGCGCGCUCGUGAUGGAGGCGGGGGGAGCUCCAUCUGUAAACGAGGUCAGAGCUUGUGAAUAACACGGUGAGCAGAGACACAGCUGCAGCGUGAAGAGAACUUCCCAGAAGCUUCUACCUUCAGCACAGAAAAGAACCUCAGGAGGGGUCAGGAGGGAACCACAGCUUGAGUUUAUUAAGAGAUUUUAGCAUAGACUUAAGCACAGGCUCUAAUGAAACAAGAGGCAGACGGUCUGAGGAGAUGGCUCAGAGGUUAAGAGCACUGGCUGCUCUUCCAGAGGUCCUGAGUUCAAUUCCCAGCAACCACAUGGUGGCUCACUAUAGUGAGAUCUGGUGCCCUCUUCUGUCCUACAGGUGUACAUGCAGACAGAACAUUGUGUACAUAUAAAUAAAAAGAAUACACACACACACACACACACACACGAGGGCAGCACCUAAGUGUCUUAUCAGAGGCCAUGUAUGUGACCUCUGAAGUUAGUCUUUAAAGGAUCUUAGGAAUCUCUUCCCUUCCUUCUUCCCUCUCUGUACAUGGGCCCGUAGGGUGGCUCCUGAGGUAGCUCAGGUAGCAUUACAGCUAGGGCCACAUACUUUCUGUAACUACAAAGGAAGUUUAUAGUUUUGUUCAUGAAAUUCCCAGAAAAGUGCAGAUUUAUGGAUUUGAAAGGAGUUAAGAGAAAACUUCAAGGUCCUGUGUGUGAAAGCCUUAGGUGUGGUUCAUUGCUAUUUUAACAUUCUUGUCUGAAACUAUUUCUUCGUAAAGGAAAUAUCGCCUCUUUGUCAGCCACCUUCGCAGCAAAUGCUGCUAACCGUGCUGAGCUGUUUCCCCUCAGCUGCUGAGCACCCGAGCCUACCUAGUCUCCUGAAUGUCCAGUUUCCCUGUUCUCGUUUAUUGUUCUCAUUUUUAAAACUUAGCUUUUGAUAGCGUCCGCAUUUGUUAACUUGCUUUAAGUGUCUUCAGACGUUCAGAGUCAGCUAGUGUGGCAACCCUCGGCUUGACUGUGCUCCACUGUCAGACAGAGCAUGGUUGGCUGUGGUUGGUGCUGCAGUUCUCUAACUCUGAGUUGAACAGUGAAUGUUGGAAGGCUACUAUAUCUGUGAAGAAGGAACUUUCUGGCUUGGCCCUUGGCCCCCGGGGAGGAUCUAGCCGGUUCUGCCUGAUGUCCUCUGCUGGUGGUUCAAUGCUGGGCCAUCUAGCAUGGAUUAAGGUGAGGCACUGGAUCACAGAGUCUGAGUUCUGACCUCCAGGGAGGCUAGGAACCAGUGUGCGGGGGGGACCCGGGCUGUCAGGAUUGUUGGGGCUCGAGGCUUUCCAGCUUCCUUUCUGUCAAAAAGCGGGGUGAGGGAGGGAGGACAUUCCAUGUCCAUCUCUAAAGGCAGCUAUGGCUAACAGGCCAGGAAGGGAGCUAUUCCAAAGGCCAAGGCUGUGUCACAGGGCCCUCACCACACAGAGUCCUCAGCACACAGGGACCUCACCACACAGGGCCCUCACCGUACAGGGCCCUCAGCACACAGAGACCUCAGCACACAGAGACCUCAGCACACAGAGACCUCACCACAUAGUCCCUGCCUGCCUCGUGUUUCCUCCCCACCUUCCAGACCCUCAUCCUCCUCUUUCUCUGCUUCAAGGUGGUAUAUGAGCAGGAAGCAGCUCAGCCAUGAGGGCCUGGACUUGAGUCCCAGCGCCCACGUGCUGGUUCACAAACAUCUGUAACUCCACUUCCAGGGGAUCAAACACCCCCUCUGGCCUCCAUGGGCACCAGGUACAUACAUGGUGCACAGACAUACGUGCGGGCAAAACCCAUACAUAUUAAGUAAAAUAAUAAGGAUAACUUUAAAAUAAAGCUGCAUAUAUGCCUUAAGUUUAAGGGCCGUCUGUGGAGCGGUUCUUUGGGAGUGGCCGUGCCUGCGCGUGCGAUAAGAUCUGCUAUUUCUCGUGUUGUCUUUCUGCGGUGCCCCGGCAGCGAACCGGAGGGCAGAGGAAGAAGGUCUCCUCUCGGGUGUUAGCAGAAGUCUGGGGUGCUGAAGACUGAAGUCAGCCACACGCCGAGCCCAAGCGACGUCCCAGCUGGAAAUGCCCCCUGCACACUGUCACACACGGUGGCGGGUACCAAGAACAGCAAGCUCUGUGGACACUCAGGAAGCCACGCCCAUCUCCUCCGGGCGCUCAGCGGGCUUCUCCCAUUGGCUGACCCUCAUCUUUUCCUGUGCGCUCCAGGGCUGGGGCAUAGGCUUUCAGUGAAUUCUGUGAGCAGUUCUAGCGAACAGCCAGAUGGGGCAUGAGUUUAGAAACUCUCUAAAUUUGAAUUAUUUUCAGGAGGAAGAAUACGCUCGUGGCUCUCCUUAGUACUGUUUUCUACUUCUAAUUUUUUUCUAUACUAUAAUGGUGGGGGCGGUGCUUGUACAUGUGUUGGGGGGUUGUGGGAGGGGUACUAUGUGUACAUACGCAUGUGAUGGUCACAGGAGGCCUUUCGUAGGCAUUCCUGAGGUUUGACACACUUUGUCAUUCCUGACUGUCUCACUGGCCUAGGACUCACCAAUUUGGCCAGCCGGGGCACUGCACCCCUGUACCCACCUGUCCGCCUCUCCCAUCCUCGGACUUCAGAUGUGUGUCACUAUGCAUGUUCUAAAGGACCCAAUUGAGGUGCUCAAGGUCACAGGCAUUGACUCUGCCAACUGAGCGAUCUCUGAACUUUUGUGAGUGCCUUUUAACAAAGGGUUUCUAAUGACCCCACAAGAGCAAAACCAGCAGCAGACACCCACAGACCCCUUCUCUUUCCCCACCGAGAGUCUCUAGGAAGAGUUUUUAAAAUAAACAAAGCUGAAACUUCAAUAAAUGCUCCCUUCCAACCUGGAGUGGCUAUGUGAGGCGAAGCCAAGCGAGCCUGAGUCGGUAGAGGACGCAGCUUAAUCCCGGAGCCUGCCGGGAAGGAGCGAACACCCUUCGAGAGCUGAGAGUUGGGUCGGUCUGCAUAAAACAUUCAUCGCACUCAUCAAUAUUAAGUGUGUUUUGUCCCACUUUGCUCAGUCGGACUUUGUUUGACUGUAUUCAUUUAAUGCUACCUCACCUUACAUUUUAUUAAAUUACAGAAAUGAUGUAGUUAGGAAUGACCCCCUCAGAGGGUCCCAGGGCCCACUCUGCUCACCGGGGCCCUUCAGCAGCUUCAGCGAAAUCAUUGUGGAGUCUGAAGUAAAUUAGGACGAGGGGGCCCUUGUUUCCCAGUUACGGAGGUCACCGCUGUGACAGAUAGCUGAGCAAAGAUCUCUGCCAGAUGUGCAAAGGGAGAAUAACUCUAGGGCAGUGGAUUCUCUUCCUUUGAGACAAGAUCUCAUGACACUAAGGCUGGCCUCGGGGCCAAUAUGUGACUAAGAUGACCUCGGAUGAGUGACCUCAUGCCGCAGCCUCCUAACAGCUGGGGUUACAGGUGUGCACCACCAUGCUGGUUGAACGUGGGUGUCUGCGCCUGUCAGGCAAGUAUUUCAGCAGUAAGCCUCGCCUGGGUCUCCGUCACCGCUCAGCAGUCAGCGUGUCUGAGCUCUGAGCUCAAAUCCCCCUUCCCAGUCUGCUGAUGGUGGAGGGGCUCGUAGAAAGAAGAGGAGAGAUGCUGCAUGCUGGGUGAACGGUGAGAGGGGGAUUUUACCCCAUGAAGCCUUCCACCCAGCAGCCGGGCUGCUGCCGACUGCAGGCCAGGCCUGGAGGCUGCUGCCCACAAGCAAGCCAAACAGUCAGAGCCUGGAAUGGCCAAGCCAUGGCCAGUUUCCACGUGAGCCUUCACCCGCCAGUGGCUGCCUCCCAGCACUGAGCCCGCAGAGCGUUAGGAUCACAGUAGGUGUGCAAGGCCGGGCCCGAGACCAAGGGAGCGCUUGGCCUUGGCACGGGCAGAAUUAGCGAGCUCGGGGAACAGAGGACCCAUUGAGGUUCCCACCUAAGUCAGCGUCUGGCUUUCUGUGCCUUCCCUGAAGGAGCCCGUCAGGAGUUUAUCGCUGCUAGAAGUGGUGGUCACAUCUGGAGACAGACAGUCCCCUGGGAAUAACUGUCGGCCAGCCUUCCUCACUGAGCUGCUCAUCUUUGUGGACUGUUUUCCCACAUGUGAACGAGUGGAAAGAGAGAGAAGUGACCUUUCAGACCCGCUGUAGCUUAUGAGAGCUUCGAAUGUCUCAGAUUCGUUGUUCAGCACGCUUCUCUUUUUCUUUGCUUCUUUCUAUGGUAGUUUUAAAUUAUUUCGGUCUUUACCACUCGGGAUGAGAGCAGAAUACUGUGUGCGUUCUGAGUCCGGCCUCGGGGUCAGUCCCAUGGACUCUAUUCUUCCCUUUCCUGUUUUUCUAUGAUUUUGUUUCCUGGUUCUGCUGUGAGGGAGUCAGGGAAGGACUUAGCCAACCGAAACACUCGUGUCAAGCUGUGGGCACUGCCCUGCCCUCAGGAAGCAGAUAACCUGGUCCCGCAGAUGCACUGCACAUAGGAAAACACUUAGAGGUUAUUUUUUCUGCUUAUGUUCUGCCCAGGAUUCAUGUCACAGCUAGAAAAUGGUUGCAUCCGAGUAAACUGACGUGCUCUCACACCCUACUGUCUGACUGCCACCUACUCCGUGCCUUUAAGCUGCGCAUGCUACCUGGCCCAGUGCAAUAAAAGUAUUUCUGAUAAAUUUUUAAAAGGGACUAAGAAGAGUCUAAUUUGGUAUUUUAAAGGCAAUUUCCAUAAUAAGUUCUAGUGUUCUACAGUUAAAUUGCCAUAUUAAGAUAUUUUUAUAAACACUCUACCUAGAAGAUGAGAAAACCCGUAUACCAUUAAGAACUAUUUUUAAAGACAUCUCUGCACAAUAAAUGCUCCUGUAGCUGACUCUUUUUGUCUU